rfam:Triticum aestivum genome assembly, contig: Triticum_aestivum_CS42_TGACv1_scaffold_000186_1AL
UAAAUACUCCCUUCGUCCGGAAAUAUUUGUCAUUGAAAUAGAUGUAUCUAGAUGUAUUUUAGUUGUAGAAUACAUCCAUUUUUAUUCAUUUUGAUGACAACUAAUUCUGAACGGAGGGGAUACUUG